rnacentral:lncRNA from 1 species
AAAUCAGGAUCUGAGAACUGAGCCCACUUAAAAUUGUCUUUUGCUUCACUGUUCAAUUGCUACUAUUGUGUUUCUUCCAAGCCUUAGGGUGAUUGCCAGAAUGGUCUACCUGCCUUGCCCUGUCACCAAAAAAUGGCUCUUUAAUUUUUCUUAUCUCUUUCUUUUCAAAACACAUAUCAGACUCAGUUCUCCUUUGGGAGGAUCAAAGAAAAGAAAGAUGUGGUUUCACAUGUGAUUCUUUUUUUCUUGAUCUUUGGAGAAUGUACAGCCACUUCUUGCCACCUGGUCCCUCAAGCCACCUAUCAGAUGGUUUGGCCAUAAGGGAGAUAGCAUCAGAUCAAGUAACCGUCCAGGGCUGAAAGACAUUGUUUAGCAGUUGCAGGUGGCCAGUUGAUGGCAUCCUGAAUGAAUAAGUAUGCUUUUCUGAUAGAAGUGUUUUCCACAGCAUGAGCCAAGUUGUGGACUCCAUAAAUUCCGAGAUGGUGUUGGUUUUGUAGAAAGCAGAAAUUACUGUAUAAUGAAGGUGAGGGUCAGGUGAGUUCUUCAGAGUUAUGUAAGGAUCAAUAAUGAAGGCUGUCUGUUCCCAUAGCUGGGUGAGGGAAGCAGAUACUCUCACCGAGUGAGUGUGAUGACAGGCUUGAUAUAGACAUAGUAUUUGGACAGUUUGAGAAACAGAAGCCUUUUCCUUUGAAGUAAGAAGAGCAGAGUUCCAUGAAUCGCCAGAGUUUAAUGGUCCAAACUUGAUGACAAGUGACACCAUAAAAGCAGGGCAUCCAUCCUGAUGACAAAACUUCCUCCUGUGUUCUCCAGCCUUCUGCUCCUGGUUUCUCUUUGUGAGGUCUCCCAGCAUUUCAAGUGCCCCCAAACACUACACUUAUCAUAUUGCUAGUAUCACAGGGCAGGAGGAGGGCUAAAUUAAGAUGUGAUCUUAAUUUAGCUUAUUUCAGACACACAAAUGAAUAGAAUAGAAUAGAAUAGAAUAGAAUAGAAUAGAAU